CACGUAGGGUGCGAGCGUUGUCCGGAAUUAUUGGGCGUAAAGAGCUCGUAGGCGGUGUGUCGCGUCGGCCGUGAAAACCUGCAGCUUAACUGUGGGCUUGCGGUCGAUACGGGCAUCACUGGAGUUCGGCAGGGGAGACUGGAAUUCCUGGUGUAGCGGUGGAAUGCGCAGAUAUCAGGAGGAACACCGGUGGCGAAGGCGGGUCUCUGGGCCGAUACUGACACUGAGAAGCGAAAGCGUGGGGAGCGAACAGG
rnacentral:rRNA from 1 species